AACGAACGCUGGCGGCAUGCCUAACACAUGCAAGUCGAACGAGAUCUUCGGGUCUAGUGGCGCAUGGGUGAGUAACGCGUGGGAACCUGCCCUUAGGCUCGGAAUAAACCUCCGUAUGGGGUGCUAAUAACGGCGAAAGACUUCGGAUAAAAGAUUGAACGCCAUUGGAUGGGACCGCGUUGGAUUGACUAGUUGGUAGGUUAAAAGCCUACCAAGUCGACGAUCCAUAGCUGGUCUGAGAGGAGGAUCAGCCACACUAGGACUGCGACACGACCCAGACGCCUACGGGAGGCAGCAGUGGGAAAUAUUAGACAAUGGGCGAGAGCCUGAUCCAGCAAUGCCGCGUGAGUGAUGAAGUCCUUAGGGUUAUAAAGCUCUAUUACCCGAGAUUAUAAUGACAGUACCGAGAGAAUAAGCUCCGGCUAACUCCGUG
rnacentral:rRNA from 1 species